AUCAAUCUGUCAGAACACCUUGAGAUGUCCUAAUUGUGAAAAAACAUAUACUACUUGAUACUUCAUUGCAAGCUUAUGUAAGGGAAAUUGACAUUUUAUAUCCCAAAUCACUUAGUCUCUCUUUUUCAAUCUUGAAACUAGAACACCUAAGUCCAAACAGUGUUGUGAAAAGCGCGUUCGGGGCGCGCUCGGGGCGCGGGGCGGUCAAAGCGAGAAUGUAAUCGCCCCGAUGCGGCGGGGUCGUGCGAGAUCCAUGGAGCGAGUGUGGGGCUCGCCUAGAGCGUCCGGGUCGCCGUGGAGCGUCUGGGUCGUCUGGGGCGAGCCGAUUUAGGAUUUAAAUAUUAGCGACUGUUCAUCUUCUUCCUUGAAUAAAUAAAAAAAAGACCCAGCUAGGAAAUAUGCAAGAGCUGAUCUGGAUACCAGAUAUAAACUUACAUACAACUUUUGCGACAAAGUGAUUGCAUCGGGAGUUCGAAGGCUCAAAGAACAUUUUGUUGGCGGAAUUAAAAACAUCACGAAAUGUACUAAAUGCCCACCACAUGUGAGAGUGGAGAUGAUCAACUAUAUGAAGAAAAAAGAGGAUGCUAAAAUACAGCAAGUUUUUACAGCGGCAGCAUCACAAAGCAGGAGAUAUUAAUUUGGUUGUAUCCGAUGAAGGAGAAGAGGUCUUACCUAUGAGUGAUGAUGAUAUUAUUUAAUUAAUUAUUUUAUGUUUUGCAACUUUUUUUGGAACUUUGAUGAUUUUUGAUAAUAAAAUUCAGUUAUUUAGUUA